UUUUUGAGUUUUUUAAAUAAGUUUAAAAUCGCUUGUGACCAUUGAGUCACAAUACUCAAACGAAAUCAUCAACGAAAGUUGAUCGGUUAAGUUAUUAAGGGCGCAUGGUGAAUGCCUUGGCACUAGGAGCCGAUGAAGGACGGGACUAACACCGAUAUGCCUCGGGGAGCUGUAAGUAAGCUGUGAUCCGGGGAUUUCCGAAUGGGGGAACCCAACUUGUGAUGCAAGUUAUCGUUUAAUGAAUACAUAGUUAAACGAAGGUAGACGUUGUGAACUGAAACAUCUCAUUAGCAACAGGAGAAGAAAGAAAAAUCGAUUCCGUCAGUAGCGGCGAGCGAACGCGGAGGAGCCCAAACCAGAGUGCUUGCACUCUGGGGUUGUAGGACUACCGUUGUGGAGUUACAAAUUUGUUUAUUAGCAGAAUCAGCUGGAAGCUGAGCGAAACAGGGUGAUAGCCCCGUAUGCGAAAGUAAGCAAACUCCCGUGUAGGAUCCUGAGUACGGCCGGACACGUGAAAUCCGGUCGGAAACUGCGA
rnacentral:sRNA from 1 species